UCGAUCUUCAAGAGGUAAGAGUCGAUCUCUAGCUUACAUUAUGUUUUAAGUAAGUUUUAUGAAGUUCAUGGGGGUAGAAUGCAUGUUUAGGUCAUAGUUAUGUUUAUGGGUUUUUGGUGUGAUUUUUGAACAAUGUGGCUUGUAAUGUGUGUUUGAUGUGUUGUAGUUGGGGCUUAAGGUAGUUUGAGACCCCUAGGAGCUUGAAUGCAUGUUUUGGUUGAGCUAAAUGCAUGUUGGUUUGAGUUUGGAGGCAAUUGUGCAUGUUUGAACCGAGUUUCUGCCCUUUGGGAGAAACCAGGUUCGGCAGCCGAAGGGACUUUCGGCCGCUGAACCCUCUUGUGGAGGCAGCCUUCGGCUGCCGAAGCUUGCCCCCGAAAGGAGACUUUCGUCUCUGUCUGGGAG
rnacentral:lncRNA from 1 species